UCCAGACUCCUACGGGAGGCAGCAGUGGGGAAUAUUGCACAAUGGGGGAAACCCUGAUGCAGCGACGCCGCGUGGGCGAUGGAGUACUUCGGUAUGUAAAGCCCUAUCAGCAGGGAAGAAAAUGACGGUACCUGACUAAGAAGCCCCGGCUAAAUACGUGCCAGCAGCCGCGGUAAUACGUAUGGGGCAAGCGUUAUCCGGAUUUACUGGGUGUAAAGGGAGCGUAGGCGGCCUGGCAAGCCUGAUGUGAAAUACCGGGGCCCAACCCCGGGGCUGCAUUGGGAACUGCCAGGCUGGAGUGCCGGAGAGGCAGGCGGAAUUCCUAGUGUAGCGGUGAAAUGCGUAGAUAUUAGGAGGAACACCAGUGGCGAAGGCGGCCUGCUGGACCGUAACUGACGUUGAGGCUCGAAAGCGUGGGGAGCAAACAGGAUUAGAUACCCCUGUACU
rnacentral:rRNA from 1 species